rnacentral:piRNA from 1 species
UCCGUUAUUAUUGGGUGUUGGUUACUUC